UGCCUUUGAUAUUUUCCUCACAAUUCUGCCUUUUUCUGCAUGCUUGAGUACUGCUUUUGGACAUAUUUUGUUAAAUGUAAAGAAGCUACAAGAGAUUCCUGCUUUUUUUUUCCCUGGGUUAUUUGUCCUUCAUGGUGAAGCUGUUCCAGUGAGAAGGUUCUUCAGUGGAUGCUGAGUGAAGUCUGCAUCCCCACUGCCUUCAUGUGUCCUACCAGAAUGGAUCUGUAAUAGAGUUCUGAAGAGGAACAGCUAUGGUUACUUUGAACCAUGAAGAUGGCCACCAAGUGCAGAUUGCUUCCUCAUUCAGUCAUGCUGAAUGAUGAUGCAUCAGUCAUGGUCCAAGGAGGACGCCCAGAUCAAUGGCAGGUAACUGAAGACCAUCACAGUAGCCUCCAUUUCUGUGCUCUGUAAGUCAGGAAUAGAGUGACCUCUGUGAAUAAGGUUUGAUGACAUUUACCAAGUCAGGCCUCACUGGCAGACAGCAGGAGAAAAUACUCCAGGAACAUGCUGCUGAUUUUCCCACUUUUCCUCUGUUUCUUUGCUCGGACAUUCUGGUGAAGAGCAUCCUUACAGAGAAGCAGCACUCAAUAAUAUUGUGAAGGCCAGAUGAUAAAUGUACAGAGUGCGGAUGGAGGAAAAUGGUGCAAUGGCUGCUUCUUCACUAAAACCUUCUGUCAUGAAUGUCCCAUUUACUCAUGGUACGGUAGCUGACCUGUGGGCUUCAGUAGUGUUUGGAGGACGUCUCUUUUCCAGUUGGAGUUAUCAAUCACCGUAUUGUAAUCUUUUAAUGUACAGUGACAUCAGCAAGUAAUUGUGCUGUGAAUUGUAUAAAUGUAUUAGAUGAAAGUCUCUAUCCUCGAGAGCUUAUGAGCAGAUGAGGCAAUAGAAAAUUGAAAGGAGGAAAGGUGACAUCAAGAUGUAAAGAGACUUGUAGAGGUCAUCCAGCAUACACAAUUCAAACCCUGGGAAGUCUUAGUCCCAGUCCAGUGGCCCUUCUGCUGCUUGCUGUCUGCCUUGUUGUUUCAUUAAAUAGGUAUGUUUGAAAAAAAUAGAAAUAAAUAUAAAUGCAGGCACUUAAGCAACUGACAGACAUUAGUAAUUUAAAUAAUAAUAAAUCACAGUGUGAUACUAGUCAGGUUAAUCUUUUUUUAAAGACCUGUAAGAACUAUUCAGAUGAUGAAAUUUUCUUAAAAGUCACUUUAAUGUUAUAUUAAAGAUUGAAAACUUUAAAACAGAACACUAAAAAUGAAGCUUUCUCGCAGUGCUAUUAUCUCUACAUUGUACAUGCAUUUAGGAGAGCUGUGAGUAUUAGAAAUCCUAAUAGCAACUAUAACAUCUUCAUUGAUGUAGGAAUGCUCUUUCGUACCUUCCUGAGCCCUUUUAUGCUCAUGCAGAAGGGGUGCAAGGACCACAGUCUGCGCUUGCUCAGUCCAACUGUUUGCUGACAGACCAGGAAGUGCGAAAUGAAAGUCUUCAGAAAAUGUAAUUUUCUUAAUUCUGCCAUGUUGAAAAGCUUGCUCUUGCUCUGUGGGCCUGAUCCUGCUUAAAGAGAGGAUAAUAUUGAAAUGGUCAAUCACUGUAGUUAACUAAAACUAAACUAAAACUAUUUGCUUAUGGAUUUGUC
ensembl:lncRNA